rnacentral:rRNA from 1 species
CCAAUAGCGUAUAUUAAAGCUGUUGCAGUUAAAAAGCUCGUAGUUGAAUUUCGGGAUUGACACAUCGGUCGUGCCUUAAGGGGUGUGAACUGGUGUAGUCAAUUUCUCACCUUCUGGAGAACCGCGAUGUCCUUAAUUGGGUGCCGCGAGGAACCAGGACCUUUACUUUGAAAAAAUUAGAGUGUUUAAAGCAGGCAUUUUUGCUUGAAUACAUUAGCAUGGAAUAAUAAAAUAGGACGGCAUGAUUCUAUUUUGUUGGUUUCUAGGAUCACCGUAAUGAUUAAUAGGGAUAGUUGGGGGCAUUAGUAUUCAAUUGUCAGAGGUGAAAUUCUUGGAUUUAUUGAAGACUAACUACUGCGAAAGUAUUUGCCAAGGAUGUUUUCAUUAAUCAAGAACGAAAGUUAGGGGAUCGAAGACGAUCAGAUACCGUCGUAGUCUUAACCAUAAACUAUGCCGACUAGGAAUCAGACGAUGUUAAUUUUUUAAUGACUCGUUUGGCACCUUACG